GACGAACGCUGGCGGCGUUCUUAACACAUGCAAGCCGAACGGAGUGGCGAACGUGUGAGUAACACGUUCGUGAUCUGCCUUGCACUUCGGGAUACGCUUGGGAAACUGGGUCUAAUACCGGAUAGUGCAAGAUGAGCUCGCGGCCUAUCAGCUUGUUGGUGGGCUAAUGGCCUACCAAGGCGUCGACGGGUAGCCGGCCGGAGAGGGUGUACGGCCAGAUUGGGACUGAGGUACGGCCCAGACUCCUACGGGAGGCAGCAGUGAGGAAGAUUGCACAAUGGGCGGAAGCCUGAUGAAGGGACGACGGGUGGGGGAGGAAGGCAUUCGGGUUGUAAACAACUUUCGACAGGAACGCGGUACCUAUAUAAGAAGCACCGGCUAGCUACGUGCCAGCAGACGCGGUAAUUC
rnacentral:rRNA from 1 species